AUGCUCUCGUGCUCGCGUCUCUCCGAGCUCGCGACGGCAACUCCGACCACGCCGCCCGCGGCCACCGCUCCUGCCGCCGCGCUGGCCGCGGUCGCCCUCACCAUCCGUGGGUCUGAUCCGGCCAUUGGGGGUCGGAUGGCUCAAGCUCGCCCCAUCCCCAAGCCCACGACGGCCCGCCCCUUGCCAGAUCCAGUUCGGGAGGAACUGGUUCUGGUCGCUCCGCUGACCGAGCCGCCUAUGGCGGGCCGCAGCCCUAUGGAUGGGGUCGGGGUGGUGAUGGAGCUCGGGUCUGCGCCGUUGUCUUCGCCUCCGACACCCCUGCCUGCCAUCUCUGUUGCUGCCGCCGGGGGUGCCGUCGACCAGCUGCAACCCCCACCGCCGGUGUCUCUGGUAGCUGUGACCAUGCUGGCCUCCUGUGCAACAGCACCGACCGCCUCCGGAGGUGUAGAUUCUGGCGAAGCUCGUGGAACCGACGAUGGGUGCGAUGGCGCGAUGAUGCCAGAGAAGUUGGAGUCUCCUCUGCUUGGUCCAUCUUCGGCGUCGGCAUGCAAGGGCCUCUCUGCUGCUACUGCCGCUCUUGGAGCCGAGGCGGGCUGGGAGCAUGUGGGUCGGGGGCGCCGUUCUGGCCAGGGCCCUCCUCUCGAGCCAUCGAGGGAAGGUUUCGAGCGUAGCCUCGCCUUCCAGCGUUGGGCUCGAGGGAGGUGCUUUGUUGCCUCGAGCGUGGCCAUCAAGUCAGUGCAUGUCGUGAGCCUUUAA
rnacentral:rRNA from 1 species